AUUGAACGCUAGCGGCAUGCCUUACACAUGCAAGUCGAACGGCAGCGCGGACUUCGGUCUGGCGGCGAGUGGCGAACGGGUGAGUAACAUAUCGGAACGUGCCCUGGAGUGGGGGAUAACUAGUCGAAAGACUAGCUAAUACCGCAUACGAUCUAUGGAUGAAAGUGGGGGAUCGCAAGACCUCAUGCUCGUGGAGCGGCCGAUAUCUGAUUAGCUAGUUGGUGGGGUAAAGGCCUACCAAGGCAUCGAUCAGUAGCUGGUCGGAGAGGACGAACAGCCACACUGGGACUGAGACACGGCCCAGACUCCUACGGAAGGCAGCAGUGGGGAAUUUUGGACAAUGGGGGCAAUCCUGAUCCAGCAAUGCCGCGUGAGUGAAGAAGGCCUUCGGGUUGUAAAGCUCUUUUGCCAGGGAAGAAACGGUCCGGGCUAAUAUCCUGGACUAAUGACGGUACCUGAAGAAUAAGCACCGGCUAACUACGUGCCAGCCGCCGCCGUAACAC
rnacentral:rRNA from 1 species